rnacentral:rRNA from 1 species
GGUCGAAGAGAAAAGGGCACAGGGCGGAUGCCUUGGCGUUAGUAGCCGAAGACGGGCGUGGCAAGACUGCGAUAAGCCUCGGUGAGCUGUCUAGCAAGCCUAGCCGAGGAUACCCUAAUGGGAUAACCCGCCUGGGUAAAACCCAGGCUCUCGCCAAAAGCGAGAGGGUACCAGGAGAACUGAAACAUCUUAGUAACCUGAGGAAGAGAAAUCUAACGAGAUUCCCGGAGUAGUGGCGAACGAAAGGGGAAGAGCCUAAACUCUAGUGACUUAGUGGGCUUGGGCCCUAUGUCAUUAGAGUGUUGCAAGACGCAAGAUACAGAACUCAAGAACUGUGACAGAGUAAAAAAACUUCUGCCUAGUCAAAUGUCCCUGGAAAGGGCAACCAAAGAGGGUGAUAGUCCCGUAGACGAAAGGUUGAAGUCUCUGCUUGUGUUCUUAAGUACCACGGGACACGAGAAAUCCCGUGGGAAUCUGGGGUGACCACACUCCAAGGCUAAAUACUACUAACGACCGAUAGUGAACCAGUACCGUGAGGGAAAGGUGAAAAGAACCCCGAGAGGGGAGUGAAAUAGAACCUGAAACCUUGUGCCUACAAGCAGUCAGAGGCUUGGUUUUUACCAAGCUGAUGGCGUGCCUAUUGAAGAAUGAGCCGGCGAGUUAAUCUCUGUGGCAAGGUUAAGUAACUUAGUUACGGAGCCGUAGCGAAAGCGAGUCUGAAUAGGGCGAUCAGUCGCGGGGAUUAGACACGAAACCGAGUGAGCUACCCAUGGCCAGGAUGAAACCCAACUAACCUUGGGUGGAGGUCCGAACCCGUGUACGUGGCAAAGUGCUGGGAUGAGCUGUGGGUAGGGGUGAAAUGCCAAACGAACUCGGAGAUAGCUUGUACUCCCCGAAAUGCAUUUAGGUGCAGCCUCAGGUAAUAACUUAUGGAGGUAGAGCACUGGAUGAGCUCGGGGCCGUGAGGUUACCAAACUCAACCAAACUUCGAAUGCCAUAAGUCUAUAUCCUGGGAGUGAGACUGCGGGGGAUAAGCUUCGUAGUCGAGAGGGAAACAGCCCAGACCAUCAGCUAAGGUCCCGAAACGCGGACUAAGUGGGAAAGGAAGUGAUAUUGCUAAAACAGCCAGGAGGUUGGCUUAGAAGCAGCCACCCUUUAAAGAGUGCGUAACAGCUCACUGGUCGAGUGAUGUCGCACCGAUAAUUUAACGGGGCUAAAGUCCGCUACCGAAGCUAUGGUUCGCCUUUCGGCGAAGGUAGGGGAGCGUUGAUAUAGCUGAGAAGCCUUGGCGUAAGCCAAAGUGGAGCAAUAGCAAGUGAGAAUGCCGGCAUAAGUAGCGAUAAGGCAUGUGAAAACCAUGCCCACCGUAAAUCUAAGGUUUCCUACGCAAGGUCAAUCCGCGUAGGGUUAGUCGGGCCUAAGCCGAACCCCAAGGGGAUAGGCGAUGGACAAUGGGUCAACAUUCCCAUACCAUCUAAUCCUUGUUUUAAGGCAAAGGGGGAACACAGGAGGAUAGGCUGAGCGCACCUAAUGGACAUGGUGCGUCUCCAAUCCAAGGCGCGUUGAGGCAGGCAAAUCCACUUCAACAUCAAGCU